rnacentral:tRNA from 1 species
UACUUUGAGAGAUUAUAUCCCGUAAAUAAAUCUACAGUUUACCACCUUCUGCUCGGCCAUCAAAGU